rnacentral:rRNA from 1 species
GACGAACGCUGGCGGCGUGCUUAACACAUGCAAGUCGAACGGAAAGGCCCUGCUUUUGUGGGGUGCUCGAGUGGCGAACGGGUGAGUAACACGUGAGUAACCUGCCCUUGACUUUGGGAUAACUUCAGGAAACUGGGGCUAAUACCGGAUAGGAGCUCCUGCUGCAUGGUGGGGGUUGGAAAGUUUCGGCGGUUGGGGAUGGACUCGCGGCUUAUCAGCUUGUUGGUGGGGUAGUGGCUUACCAAGGCUUUGACGGGUAGCCGGCCUGAGAGGGUGACCGGCCAAAUUGGGACUGAGAUACGGCCCGGACUCCUACGGGAGGCAGCAGUGGGGAAUAUUGCACAAUGGGCGGAAGCCUGAUGCAGCAACGCCGCGUGCGGGAUGACGGCCUUCGGGUUGUAAACCGCUUUCGCCUGUGACGAAGCGUGAGCGACGGUAAUGGGUAAAGAAGCACCGGCUAACUACGUG